rnacentral:rRNA from 1 species
GACGAACGCUGGCGGCGUGCUUAACACAUGCAAGUCGAACGGUAAGGCCCUUCGGGGUACACGAGUGGCGAACGGGUGAGUAACACGUGGGUGAUCUGCCAUGCACUUCGGGAUAAGCCUGGGAAACUGGGUCUAAUACCGGAUAGGACUCCGGACUGCAAGGUCUGGGGUGGCAAGCUUUUGCGGUGGGGGAUGGGCGCGGGGCCUAUAAGCUUGUUGGGGGGGUGAUGGCCUACCAAUGCGACGAGGGGUAGCCGGACGGAGAGGGUGGCCGGCCACACUGGGACUGGGAUAUGGCCCAGACUCCUACGGGAGGCAGGAGUGGGAAAUAGUGCACAAUGGGCGCAAGCCUGAUGCAGGGACGCCGCGUGAGGGAUGAGGGCCUUCGGGUUGUAAACCUCUUUCAGCAUCGACGAAGCGAAAGUGACGGUAGGUGCAGAAGAAGGACCGGCCAACUACGUGCCAGCCGCCGCCGUAA